rnacentral:lncRNA from 1 species
CUAACCACAUGAAUGCAGUAGGGAACAUGAUUCUAAACUAUAAGAAAAUUCAUAAUCAAGCAUUAGGGGUUAGGGCUUUGAGAGUGUCAAUGAGAAUUCAGCUUCGAAGCAAUACGGCUCAAGCAAUAGUCUUCUUGUGAACGAGGAACUGGAGCUCUUGAUUAACUGUGAGAGAGAAUCCAGAAAUUGUGAGAGAAAGAGAUGGAGAGAGAGUGUAUAAUAUAUAGUAAAUCUCAUAAACAACUAGUACACACUAAUAAUAUGGAGUAAGUUGGAGCCUGGCAGUGGAGUGUUGUUCUUGGAGCCUAAGCAUUGCAACGU